UACAGAGGGUGCAAACGUUGUUCGGAUUUACUGGGCGUAAAGCGCGUGUAGGCGGUCGGGCAAGUCGGAUGUGAAAGCCCAGGGCUCAACCCUGGAAGUGCACUCGAUACUGCUCGGCUAGAGUCCCGGAGAGGAUGGUGGAACUCUCGGUGUAGAGGUGAAAUUCGUAGAUAUCGAGAAGAACACCGGUGGCGAAGGCGGCCAUCUGGACGGUGACUGACGCUGAGACGCGAAAGCGUGGGGAGCAAACAGG
rnacentral:rRNA from 1 species